rnacentral:rRNA from 1 species
UACGUAGGGUGCAAGCGUUAAUCGGAAUUACUGGGCGUAAAGCGUGCGCAGGCGGUUUUGUAAGUUUGUUGUGAAAUCCCCGGGCUCAACCUGGGAAUGGCGAUGAAGACUGCAAGGCUAGAGUUUGGCAGAGGGGGGUAGAAUUCCACGUGUAGCAGUGAAAUGCGUAGAUAUGUGGAGGAACACCGAUGGCGAAGGCAGCCCCCUGGGUCAAAACUGACGCUCAUGCACGAAAGCGUGGGGAGCAAACAGG